rnacentral:rRNA from 1 species
AGAGUUUGAUCAUGGCUCAGGAUGAACGCUGGCGGCGUGCUUAACACAUGCAAGUCGAACGGAGUAAUUAAGGUAGCUUGCUACAUUAAUUACUUAGUGGCGGACGGGUGAGUAACGCGUGGAUAACCUACCUUACACAGGGGGAUAACAACGAGAAAUCGUUGCUAAUACCGCAUAAGUGUGAUUUCCGCAUGGGGAUCAUAUGAAAGCUCCGGCGGUGUAAGAUGGGUCCGCGUCUGAUUAGCUAGUUGGUGAGAUAACAGCCCACCAAGGCAACGAUCAGUAGCCGGCUUGAGAGAGUGGACGGCCACACUGGGACUGAGACACGGCCCAGACUCCUACGGGAGGCAGCAGUGGGGAAUAUUGCACAAUGGGGGAAACCCUGAUGCAGCGACGCCGCGUGAAGGAAGAAGGUCUUCGGAUCGUAAACUUCUAUCAGCAGGGAAGAAGAUAGUGACUGUACCUGACUAAGAAGCCCCGGCUAACUACGUGCCAGCAGCCGCGGUAAUACGUAGGGGGCAAGCGUUAUCCGGAAUCACUGGGUGUAAAGGGUGCGUAGGCGGUAGGGCAAGUCAGAUGUGAAAGCCCGGGGCUCAACUCCGGGAUUGCAUUUGAAACUGUCUUACUAGAGUGCAGGAGAGGAAAGCGGAAUUCCUAGUGUAGCGGUGAAAUGCGUAGAUAUUAGGAAGAACACCAGUGGCGAAGGCGGCUUUCUGGACUGUAACUGACGCUGAGGCACGAAAGCGUGGGGAGCGAACAGGGUUAGAUACCCUGGUAGUCCACGCCGUAAACGAUGAGUGCUAGGUGUCGGGGCCGUGAGUCCCGGUGCUGAAGUCAACGCAUUGAGCACUCCACCUGGGGAGUACGUUCGCAAGAAUGAAACUCAAAUGAAUUGACGG